UCAGUUUAUAACGGGAAGCCCCUCCAGCCCCGUCCCGACGCAUCCCCUCCGUCACGUGAUCAGACCCCUUCUCUGGGAUUUAUGCAACAUUUUGGACGAUCGCGUUCUGUCGUUCUGACGUUUGUUAAAUUCUAGUCUGUUAUUGUAAGUGGCACUUUUUUUUAAAUUUUGUGCUGGAGAAUUGCUGUAAUUUCUGCUUCUUUUUUUUUUAAAACCGGUUCCUCUCAGCUGGCUCGAGAUAAAUGAAUGAAAAAACAAACUAAGUUGUUGAUAAGAUUUUCUUAAUUGCAGGAAAUUUCUCCUUAAAACAACGACAGAAGUUUAUCGAAGAGGGAAUAAAACAAUUUUAUUUUUGUUUGUUUCUUCUUCUUCUUCUUCUCCCUAAACCUCCCACACUUUUAUACUGGCUCUGCUGCUUGUUUUGAGAGGCAUAUAAAGAGGUGUAAUUUUGCAAACAUUUCUUAAGUGCAGAGAGCCAGAAGGACCCUCCAGUAUUGUCCUGGGAGAGAAAGAGAAACACGUUGACAAAGGAAUCCAUUGUUCCUGGCGAACAAUUCAAGGGGCCUAGUAAGCUGUCCUCUACGAUCAGGCAGCCGGCCGCUGAUUUGAAUGCAAGGGGCCCCUCCAAGGAGAAAUGGUAAUAUAUGGCAAGAUAUAACCAACAGCAGCCCAUAUGCAACCGUGCACGUUGGCUGUACACACACACACACACACACACACACACAGGAAACAGAGAGCUGGGAGGAAAACUUUCUUUACUCUGGAUGUGUUUCACCUGCUCCCAGGAUUCGUCCCACUUGGUCCCCAGUAAAGAUAAAUUGGUCCACGUGUUUACAGAUUGGUGAGGCCCCAGUCGAGAGGUUUGGGGCGUCGGAGCAUCAGGUUUUGCAUACAGCUGGAUUCAAGUCUGGGGCAACGCCACUGACGGGCGUUAUGGAAAUGUGACCAACAUUUGACAUAAUUUAAUACAAAAAUCUGUGUGUGUGUGUUCAGGCUUUAAGAUGACAGAUAUUGUAAAUGAAAUUCAGAUGGAGGGUCGGGGUCGGGGUCGGGGGGGCUUGGUGUGUAGAUGCUGACCUCAUCUCUGUUGUGUGUUGCAGGAGAUGCUUCCAGGCGCCUUGAGAUGAAGAUGUUUCUUUGAGCCUUCCUCCUCAUCACUGUAAUCAAGAGAAGACAUUUUCAACGCACACUGAUGGUUUCUAUCAAUUACUUUACGUCCACAAUACACUAAUAUAUAAGAUCCAUUUUGGAAAUGCAUCGCUUCAAUUAUUUAGAGUAAGUAAAACUUACAAGAAAACUGGGCCUCUUUUCCCCCCCGAACAUUUCUUAAUUUCACGUGCAAAUAACUAACCACGAUGUAAGGUCAAUGAGGUCACACACGC
ensembl:lncRNA